rnacentral:tRNA from 1 species
AGUGGGGUGGUCGAGUUAUAGGCGGUGGGCUGUAAACCUAUUUACGGGAUUUAAUCCCCCCUACUA